UACGUAGGCAGCGAGCGUUGUUCGGAAUUACUGGGCGUAAAGAGUGUGUAGGCGGUGCUCUAAGUUCGGUGUGAAAUCUCCUGGCUCAACUGGGAGGGUGCGCCGGAAACUGGAGCGCUUGAGCGUGGGAGAGGAAAGCGGAAUUCCUGGUGUAGCGGUGAAAUGCGUAGAUAUCAGGAGGAACACCUGUGGUGUAGACGGCUUUCUGGACCAUAGCUGACGCUGAGACACGAAAGCGUGGGUAGCAAACAGG
rnacentral:rRNA from 1 species